rnacentral:rRNA from 1 species
UACGUAGGCAGCGAGCGUUGUUCGGAAUUACUGGGCGUAAAGAGUGUGUAGGCGGUGCUUUAAGUUCGGUGUGAAAUCUCCCGGCUUAACUGGGAGGGUGCGCCGGAAACUGGAGUGCUCGAGCGUGGGAGAGGAAAGCGGAAUUCCUGGUGUAGCGGUGAAAUGCGUAGAUAUCAGGAGGAACACCUGCGGUGUAGACGGCUUUCUGGACCAUUGCUGACGCUGAGACACGAAAGCGUGGGUAGCAAACAGG